rnacentral:lncRNA from 10 species
CUACAACUCAGCAAAAAGGUUGAAAGUCUUCCCUAACAUAGUGUGUCCUCUUUCUCCCUGCCACACCAAGAGAAGCUAAAACCAGAAGAGGGAAGAAGAACAAAAGUGAAAGCAGAGGCCAGUUCUACUGUAGUCCUCCUCUCCAUAGAGGGUCCAGAGAGCCUAGGUCAGGCCUGAGCCUCUGAAGGGAAGGGGACCAGACUGGAGUUUAAAUCAAACUGGACUCCGUGUGUGCAUGUGUGUGAGCACAUUUGUAAAACUAUAACAUGAUGACUUUUCAGUGUAAAAAAUGGAACUGCAUGUCCCCUUCCAUGAAUGUAUCUUAUUCCUGUCUCUAUUAAUAUAGCAAAACUAUAAAAAGUGAGAUUAUAGCCUGAUGGUAUCUUGAUCUUAAAUCAUCUAUGUGGCUAAUCAUGAGGUUAAGGACUGUUAGAAAACCAAGAUGACUGUUGGAAUUUAAGCCCAAAAUUACUCCAGCUUUGCAGAUUGAGAUUUUUUUUUUUUUUUUGAGACAGAGCCUCGCUCUUGUCACCCAGACUGGAAUGCAAUGGUGCGAUCUCAGCUCACUGCAUCCUCUGCCUCCUGGGUUCAAGCCAUUCUCCUGCCUCAGCCUCCCGAGUAGCUGGGAUUACAGGUGGCUGCCACCAUGCCCAGCAAUUUUUGUAUUUUUAGUAGAGGCGGGGUUUCACCAUGUUGGCCAGGCUGGCCUCGGACCCCGACCUCAAAUGAUACACCCACCUCAGCCUCCCAAAGUGCUGGGAUCACAGGAGUGAGCCAUCGUGCCUGGCCAGAUUGAGAAUUUUUCAAAUGUCCACUUUAUGGCAUUAAUCUUUCUGUACCUCACUUUUCCUUAUUAGUAAACGAUGUAGAUUUUAAAAACAAAGUAAAAAUGAAGAGUUAUUUCUGGCAGCUGGCAUCUAUGUACCCACUGUGCAGCAGCUAUAGUCUCAGCUGUGAAAUGAGAGGAUUAAUUCAUCUCUAUGUGGCAUUCUAGCUCUGAACUCUACGAAACUUAAUGCCACUAAGAAGCAU